UCCUACGGGAGGCAGCAGUAGGGAAUCUUGGACAAUGGGCGCAAGCCUGAUCCAGCCAUGCCGCGUGAGUGAAGAAGGCCUUAGGGUCGUAAAGCUCUUUCGCCUGUGAUGAUAAUGACAGUAGCAGGUAAAGAAACCCCGGCUAACUCCGUGCCAGCAGCCGCGGUAAU
rnacentral:rRNA from 1 species